rnacentral:lncRNA from 1 species
AGUAAAAGUUCGACGCAUAAUUAGUUCUAUGGUACCUUACAGUUGUUCCAGGCCAAGGUGAAAUGAAUCUUUUAAGGUUCUGUGGAUCUCUAAUCCAUAUUACAUACAAAUUUGCAUCGUGAGAAUUUUGAUUAUAAAAUUUGCACCCAUCUGCCGAUCCAUUCACCGGCACUCAUAGAAUUUUGUUGGGUUUAGUGAUCCAUGAUCAACUGUCUCAAGUAUCAUGCAUAACAACAAGAGAAAAAAUAGAAAAGAAGAGUCAAGGUGUGCAAAUUUAGUGAAAGGCCACAUGGAAGAACUACUCUCGAUGGUGGUGAGCAUAUUUUAAACACUGCCCUACUCAUAAGAAGAGAACGAAUACAAACAGAGAUGCACUUUGUCCCUUACGAACACGAUACUACUGAGAAAAUGAGCAUCUAUUAGUAUACAGGACCAUCUCAUGGUCAUAUUUAUCACUAUACCUUCGUUGAAAUCUCGUGAAGCAACAUGUUUGAUUGCCGAAUUCGGUCCUUCAUCAUUCCCACGCCCAUCUUCUUCGGUCACGCGUCGUAAAACUUCUCCUUUUUUUGUUUGCUUUUUUUUGGGUCGCAACGCCCGUGCCUUUCUGUGCUUUGUGAUAGCUUUGUUUGAUAUGGCUUGCUUUGCCUUUUGCAUAGCCUCUCUCCCCUACCUUCCCUACUAAGUUAUAAAAGCUCUCUCUCUCUCUCUCUCUCUCUCUC